AGAGUGAGAUGGGCAGGGAGGUAUAAAGAGGCGGCCAUAGAGGGAGAGGUGACACACAGCUCUGUCCUCGGUGCCAGACUAAACCAUGCUCGCCAUGCUGCAGAUGUGGACUCUCCUCACCUUGGCGCUCUUCUUCCUCACAUCUGUACAAGGUAACGGUGUGCAGAUGCAGAGGGAUGUGCAGUGUUGCAUGUUGUACUCCCAGGGCAAGGUGCGGACCAAAGACGUGCUGCGGUUCGAGGUGCAGACGGAGGGGCCAGACUGCAGCAUACAAGCCAUCAUUCUCUACACAAAGAAGGCGGUAAAAUGUGCUGAUCCCAGCGACCGUAAGGUGAAGAGGCUGCUCCGAAAACUGAUGCUGAGACAGAGGACUAAGGCCCAUCGAACCAUGUGGCUGCUCCCCUAUGACAACCUGCCUGUAAUGACAGAGCGUCACUGUCCUGUAGGAGAAGAAACAUAACUGGGCUGAUCUCAACGUGGAGUGAAGGAACAAAGAAAUGUGGACCUAUAUAGUCAUAAGCCAAGUAAACUGUCAGCGGCUCGUCACUCUUACCCGGCGGGCUUUGGCUGACCCUCCAGUUGUAUUGUGUCAAUCUACUCUCUCCAUCUCCCUGGGAUCAGACCUGGGCAGCAAUAGCAUAUUUAAAACGUUAUACAUAUUUAUACAUGGACUGCGCUUUAUAUCCAAAUCGUGUGGCUGUACCUCCACAUUAGAGUGAUGUAAGUUUGACAUAUGGCGUAUACUGUUAUUUGCCAGAGUCUUUCUGGAAGUGACUGUUAUAUCUGAUGUGUACUACUCUAUUCAUUGUGACUAACAGUAUAUUUUAUGUCAGUAAUGUGUAAAGACACCGUACACAGUGUUUUGGAGAUAUUCUGUCUCUGUAAUGAUUUGCACCUAUUUUUGUACAAUUUUUCUUUAGUUCAGGCUGAUAUAUGACUGUUCAGUGGGUGACAAAGGACAAUAGUCUGCACCUGCUUCUCUGAAUUUCUUGGACUGUUUGUAAAAUAUACAUCUGCAAAGCAUUUUAAUCAUACAGCCCUCAUCUCAGGCUUCAACUGCAGAUUUCAACAUUACAAUAGUCAGAGAAUAAACUAUGCCAAAGUUUAAAUAAUCUGAUUCACAAUAUGACCUGGCUUUUCAAACCAUGAGGGCUCAAACGUGUGUCCCGACACACUGUUGUUGUACUGGGAAAGACUGCACUGUCUGUUACACCUGUAUCUGAAGUGAACUCUUUUAUAAAUGAAUCUAAACAAA